rfam:Biomphalaria glabrata isolate BB02 unplaced genomic scaffold LGTN_random_Scaffold2104, whole genome shotgun sequence.
GAGCAAUGAGGAGACCUUUUGAAAUGACACACAUGAAUAAGUUAUACGCUAUUCUGAGCUCUAU